CCUACGGGCGGCAGCAGUGAGGAAUAUUGGUCAAUGGACGAGAGUCUGAACCAGCCAAGUAGCGUGAAGGAUGACUGCCCUAUGGGUUGUAAACUUCUUUUAUAUGGGAAUAAAAUGUUCCACGUGUGGGAUUUUGUAUGUACCAUAUGAAUAAGGAUCGGCUAACUCCGUGCCAGCAGCCGCGGUAAUACGGAGGAUCCGAGCGUUAUCCGGAUUUAUUGGGUUUAAAGGGAGCGUAGGUGGAUUGUUAAGUCAGUUGUGAAAGUUUGCGGCUAAACCGUAAAAUUGCAGUUGAAACUGGCAGUCUGGAGUACAGUAGAGGUGGGCGGAAUUCGUGGUGUAGCGGUGAAAUGCUUAGAUAUCACGAAGAACUCCGAUUGCGAAGGCAGCUCACUGGACUGCAACUGACACUGAGGCUCGAAAGUGUGGGUAUCAAACAGGAUUAGAUACCCGAGUAGUC
rnacentral:rRNA from 1 species